CCUACGGGAGGCAGCAGUGGGGAAUAUUGUACAAUGGGGGAAACCCUGAUGCAGCGACGCCGCGUGAGUGAGGAAGUAUUUCGGUAUGUAAAGCUCUAUCAGCAGGGAAGAAAAUGACGGUACCUGACUAAGAAGCCCCGGCUCACUACGUGCCAGCAGCCGUGGUAACACGAAGGGGGCAAGCGUUAUACGGAUUUACUGGGGGUAAAGGGAGCGUAGACGGUUUAUAAUGUCAGAAGUGAAAACCCAGGGCUCAACCUUGGGACUGCUUUGUAAACUGAGUAGCUAGAGUGCAGGAGAGGUAAGCGGAAUUCCUAGUGUAGCGGUGAAAUGCGUAGAUAUUAGGAGGAACACCAGUGGCGAAGGCGGCUUACUGGACUGUAACUGACGUUGAGGCUCGAAAGCGUGGGGAGCAAACAGGAUUAGAUACCCGGGUAGUC
rnacentral:rRNA from 1 species